rnacentral:misc_RNA from 1 species
CUUUCAUUUGGUUCAGUUGACUAGAGGGAAUAGAUAGAGCGGAGGGAAUAUAAAGAUCUAAGUGGUAAUAUUAAUAAAAUUUAGUGAUUAAAUAGUAAAUUAUUCUUUACAAAAAAUUUACUUGCAAAAAGCACCUUUAUUUCCACUAAUUUGCACUAUAACUCAUAUUUCUAAGAAUUGAAAUCUAAUUUAUUUCGAACCAGACGCAAUGAAACAUGAAUCGAAUUCCAUAAAUAAUUGAAUUGAACCAAACAAGCUCUUACCAUUCCUCCUCUCAAACAGUGUAAAAUGGUUAAUGCCUUGGCAAACAAAGCGGAGAUUUUGUCUCUCUACCCCCGCUUCACUUUCGUUUUCAAUCUGCUAGGGUUCUGUUUUCAUUUCUCUAGCUCCUUAUCCACUGUAGUGUCCAUAAAUCAGCUUUGGGCAUUGAAUGUGUAGGGGCUGUUAAGGAAUUUUCAGGGAGUUGUCAGCUAGUACUUGAGUCGAUUAAUUGGGAAGCAAGGAGAAGAAGUGGAUUGAUUUUAGUUAUUUCUUUGUGGGGUUGUGUUGUAGUUGGCUUUUCUGGGAUAUAUGUUCUUGGUGAACUGAAAUGAGUGUGGUUGGGUUUGAUAUCGGUAAUGAAAACUGUGUCAUUGCUGCUGUGAAACAACGGGGUAUUGAUGUGUUGUUGAAUGAUGAAUCAAAACGUGAAACGCCAUCUGUGGUGUGUUUUGGGGAGAAACAGCGGUUUCUUGGGGCUGCUGGGGCUGCUUCUGCUAUGAUGAACCCAAAAUCCACUAUAUAUCAAUUGAAGAGAUUGAUUGGCCGGAGUUUUACAGAUCCUGAUGUUCAAAACGAGCUUAAAAUGUUACCAUUUGAAACUUCUGGGGGACACGAUGGUGGCAUUUUAAUUCAGUUGAAAUAUUUGGGUGAGACACAUACAUUUACGCCAGUUCAGAUCAUGGCAAUGCUCUUCUCACAUUUGAAAGAAAUAACAGAGAAAAAUUUGGAAAUGCCUGUUACUGAUUGUGUGAUUGGGAUACCAUCAUAUUUCACAGACUUACAGAGACGGGCAUAUUUGAGUGCUGCAGAAAUUGCUGGGUUGAAGUCUUUGAGAUUGAUGCAUGAUUGUACUGCAAUAGCGCUUAGCUAUGGGAUUUACAAAACUGACUUCCCCAAUGCAGGGCCAACAUAUGUUGCAUUUGUUGACAUUGGUCACUGUGAUAUGCAAGUAUCUAUUGUAUCAUUUGAAGCUGGGCAUAUGAGGAUUCUAUCCCAUGCUUUUGAUAGCAACUUAGGAGGAAGGGAUUUUGACGAGGUUUUGUUUAGUUAUUUUGCCUCACAGUUCAAGGAGCAUUACAAAAUAGAUGUGUAUUCUAAUGUAAGGGCAUGUAUUAGGUUAAGGGCAGCAUGUGAGAAGUUGAAGAAGGUUUUGAGUGCAAAUGCAGAGGCACCUCUAAAUAUUGAGUGCUUGAUGGAUGAGAAAGAUGUUAAAGGUUUUAUUAAGAGAGAGGAAUUUGAGAGGCUGGCUUCAGGAUUAUUGGAGAGGAUAAGUGUUCCCUGCAAGAAAGCUUUAGCUGAUGCUGGGAUACCUGUGGGGAAGAUCCAUUCCAUUGAGCUUGUUGGCUCAGGGUCUAGAAUACCGGCUAGUACUAAGUUGUUAGCUUCUCUAUUUGGAAGAGAACCCAGCCGGACACUGAAUGCAAGUGAAUGUGUGGCACGUGGAUGUGCCCUCCAGUGUGCAAUGCUUAGUCCAGUUUUUCGAGUCAGAGAAUACGAGGUUCAAGAUUCGCUUCCUUUCUCUAUUGGAUUUUCAUCAGAUAAAGGCCCAAUUGGCACAGAGUCAAAUGACAUAUUGUUUCCAAAAGGUCAACCUAUUCCGAGUAUCAAAGUUUUGACAUUCCAGCGAUGUAAUAUAUUUCAUUUGGAAGCAUUCUAUGCCAAUCCAAAUGAACUUACCCCUGGUGCCUCUUCAAAAAUUAGUUCUUUCACAAUUGGUCCUUUCCCUGGCUCCUAUAGUGAAAACACAAGGAUUAAAGUUAAAGUCCAAUUAAAUCUUCAUGGCAUCAUCACCAUUGAGUCAGCUAUGUUGAUGGAAGACCACAUAGAUGAUUAUGUUAGAAGGGACAAUACUUAUCCAGAAGGAGACAAAAUGGAGGCCGACUCUGCUUUUGGUUCUUCAACAAAGCUUGCAAAUGAUGAUGAGGAUGAUGUGACAAUGCAUGCCAGAUCAUUAGAUGAUUCAGCUAAUGGCAUAACAAGAGACAAUGCUGGUCAGAGGCUUGAGAUGCCAGUUACUGAGAACAUAUAUGGUGGAAUGACUGAGGCUGAACUUUCAGAAGCUAAAGAGAAGGAAUUUCAGUUAGCUCAACAGGACAAACUUGUGGAACAAGCCAAAGACCAGAAAAAUGCCUUGGAAUCAUAUGUUUAUGAAACACGUAAUAAGGUAGAACCUCAAAUUUCUGACACAGGAUCAUAUCUUCCCUAGAUAUCAUAAUUUGGUUUUGUUUUACACAAUCAAUUUGGUUUUUGCAUGUCAUGCCUUUAUGAAAUUUCUGCUGAAUCUGCUUUAAGGCUACCAUACCAGCUCUAUGCUGUGGUAAAAUUAUUGUUUAACAUCUUAAAAAAUAAAAUAGUUGUUUUAUGGCUUUAUAUUUUGUACUUGUAUUUGUGCAACAUAAGCAUGAACUUGGGAAUGUUGCUGCUGAGUUAAUGGGCUGUAAUUAGCUAGAAAUGACUUCUUGUCAUGACACAACAAAUGUGAUAUGAAACAAGAUGAAUGAAGGAUUGGAUAAGAUGUCUGAGAUAUCCAUACUUUAUGCUAGAUUUUAAUAAUUUAAUCAAGCUAGAAAGGGCUUCUAAUUCAUUGUCCUUCUAUUUUUCUUAAUAUUCUGGUUUGAGAAAUAAUGACAAGUUAUAUGAAUAGCUUUUCAACACAUAUCGGAGCUUUGUCAGUGAUCGAGAGAAAGAGGGAAUCUCCAUGAGCCUAAAGGAGACAGAGGAGUGGCUUUAUGAAGAUGGUGAUGAUGAAACUGAGAAUGCAUAUACUUCAAAAAUGCAGGAUCUUAGGAAGUUGGUGGAUCCCAUUGAGAAUCGAUAUAAAGAUGUAGAAGCAAGAGCACUAGCUAAACAAGAUUUGUUAAAUUGCAUUGUGGAUUAUAGAAUGUCUGUUGAUUCUCUCCCCCCUGAGGAUAGGGAAUUGAUCAUUAAUGAGUGCAAUAAAGCUGAGCAGUGGGUGAGAGAGGGAACCGAACAACAAGAUUCCUUACCCAAGAACACCAAUCCAGGGUUAUGGUCAUCGGAGAUAAAGAGCAGGACAGAGGAUCUAAACUUGAUAUGCAAACGUAUAUUGGAAAGGAAGGGUUCUCCACGAAGUUCGGAGGACAAGAGACCAGACCAGCCGCAAUAGGUUCAAGGUGUUGAAGACCUCUCAGAAAACUUCACUUCAAUUUACACUUAUAAACAUGGCACAGUUUACACAGCCAAAUACACAAAAACUAGUAGCAGUACUAAGAAUCCUGUUUUUCAGUAACCUGAAUGUGAGGCGCUCAUAAAGAUUGGGGGCCCUAUUGGCAUUUGAUCUAAGCACAUGGGCUAUACUCCAGAAGACAAAUUUGAAGCUUGCUUUAUUUUCACCCCUAUUUUGGGUAAUGCAAGUGUAAUCACAUUUUAUUCGUCGUUGAUUGACAAAUCACC